GACGAACGCUGGCGGCGUGCUUAACACAUGCAAGUCGAACGGAAAGGCCCUGCUUUUGUUGGGUGCUCGAUUGGCGAACGGGUGAGUAACACGUGAGUAACCUCCCCUUGAAUUUGGGAUAACUUUAGGAAACUGGGGAUAAUAUCCGAUAGGAUCUCCUGCUGCAUGGGGGGGGUUGGAAAGUUUCGGCGGUUGGGGCUGGACUCGCGGCUUAUCCGCUUGUUGGUGGGGUAGUGGCUUACCAAGCUUUUGACGGGUAGCCGGCCUGGGAGGGUUACCGGCCACAUUGGGACUGAGAUACGGCCCAGACGCCUACGGGAGGCAGCAGUGGGGAAUAUUGCACAAUGGGCGGAAGCCUGAUGCAGCAACGCCGCGUGCGGGAUGACGGCCUUCGGGUUGUAAACCGCUUUCGCCUGUGACGAAGCGUGAGUGACGGUAAUGGGUAAAGAAGCACCGGCUAACUACGUG
rnacentral:rRNA from 1 species